rnacentral:rRNA from 1 species
AAUGAACGCUGGCGGCAGGCCUAACACAUGCAAGUCGAACGGUAACAGGAAGCAGCUUGCUGCUUUUCGGACGGGGGACGGGCGGGUGAGAAAUGUCUAGGCAACUGCCCGAUUGGGGGUGAUAACUGCUAGAAACGGCAGCUAAUACCGCAUAACUUCUCCAGCACAAAGGGGGGGAGCUUAUUGCCGCUUGCCAUCGGAUAUGCCCAGCUGGGCUGAGCUUGGAGGUGGGGGAACGUCACACCUAGGCGGCGAUCGGUAGACGGUGUGAGAGUGUGAGCGCCCACACGGGAACUGAGACACGGUCCAGAGUCCUACGGGAGGCAGCAGUGGGGAAUAUUGCACAGUGGGCGCGAGCAUGAUGCAGCCAUGCCGCGUGUAUGAAGAAGGCCUUCGGGGUGUAAAGUCCUUUCAGCGGGGAGGAAGGGAGUAAAGUUAAUACCUUUGCUCAUUGACGUUACCCGCAGAAGAAGCACCGGCUAACUCCGUG